GGAGUAUAGCUCAGUUGGUUAGAGCACUUGCCUUACAAGCAAGGGGUCGUAGGUUCGAGUCCUACUGUUCCC
rnacentral:tRNA from 1 species